rnacentral:tRNA from 1 species
AGGGGGGUAGCUCAUUGGGAGAGCAUCUUCUUGGCAUGCAGAGGGUCCUGGUUUCAACCCCCAGCCUCUCUA